GGCAGUGGGGCUCAGGCGGCUUUUGGCAGAAAGAUUUAUAGUAACACUCAUCUCAUUGGUGGGCCAACAAGAACUGUGUGAGAAUAACUUCCCAUGGCUCUAAGCCUCCAAAGCUGUGGGGAGAUGUUUUGGUGGCCCUGGAAACUAACAAAGGGUUCCCACACCAUUGAGAGGACCUACUGGAAACUGUCAAGUCCAAAGGAAACUCCAAUUCCCCAAACUCCACAAGGAAGUCCAAACUUCCAGAAUGAGCUCGAACUGGACUAUAGGAGGAUUUCUGAUGGUCACUAAAAGCCAGCAUUCCUCUGGACAUUGCGAAGCUAGUUCCUAUCUACCAAAAGGGGUCAUUUCCUUUAGCUCCAGCAAAAGGGACUUACGACUCUCCAGUUAAGAUAAACCCGUGGCAUUUAUGGAAUAUCAAGGUCCACGCUAGCCUCCAGGUGCCCUCAGUCACUGCUCACAUGUAUUUGUUACACAUUUAUAAGGUCCCUCAGCAGUCUCCUGGCCCUUCCCUCCCCCAAGCUACUCAUCCUUCUUAGGGCCCAGCUAUUCUCACUGUGCGCAGCCGCCAUUCUUGCUAAUUUCACUAUGCCGGCUCCAGUCUCGAUUGCCUGAUACUCUCUCUUCAUCCGUGUUCAGUCUGCUUCCUCCUCUGCUCUGGAUUCUCCUCAAUGCCCCUGCUGGACUCCUCACUUCUACAGUAAAACCUUCAAGUACCA